AUUGAACGCUGGCGGCAGGCCUUACACAUGCAAGUCGAACGGCAGCACGGGUGCUUGCCCCUGGUGGCGAUUGGCGAUCGGGUGAGUAAUACAUAGGAACAUGUCCUGAAGUGGGGGAUAGCCCGGCGAAAGGCGGACUAAUACCGCAUACGAUCUACGGAUGAAAGUGGGGGACCUUCGGGCCUCGCGCUACAGCGUUGGCAGGUGGCGGAUUAGCUAGUUGGUGGGGUAAAGGCCUACCAAGGCGACGAUCAGUAGCUGGACUGAGAGGACGACCGGCCACACUGGGACUGAAACACGGCCCAGACUCCUACGGGAGGCAGCAGUGGGGAAUGUUGGACAAUGGGCGAAAGCCUGCUCAAGCAAGGCCGCGUAUGUGAAGAAGGCCUUCGGGUUUUAAAGCACUUUUGUCCGGAAAGAAAUGCUUGGCGCUAAUACGGUCGGGGGAUGACGGUACCCGAAGGAUAAGCACCGGCUAACUACGUG
rnacentral:rRNA from 1 species